GACGUAGGUGGCGAGCGUUGUUCGGAAUCACUGGGCGUAAAGCGCACGUAGGCGGACUCUUAAGUCGGUGGUGAGAUCCUGGAGCUCAACUCCAGAACUGCCUUCGAUACUGAGAGUCUCGAGUCCGGGAGAGGUGAGUGGAACUGCGAGUGUAGAGGUGAAAUUCGUAGAUAUUCGCAAGAACACCAGUGGCGAAGGCGGCUCACUGGCCCGGUACUGACGCUGAGGUGCGAAAGCGUGGGGAGCAAACAGG
rnacentral:rRNA from 1 species